rnacentral:ncRNA from 1 species
ACGGGGGAGCCGAUGAUUUCGGCUGAGAGGACGCAGUGAGAUCGUGAGCGUCGACCCUUAGAACCUGUUCGGAUAAUGCCGUCGAAGGGAGGAAUUAU